rnacentral:rRNA from 1 species
AACGAACGCUGGCGGCAUGCCUAACACAUGCAAGUCGAACGAGACCUUCGGGUCUAGUGGCGCACGGGUGCGUAACGCGUGGGAACCUGCCCUUAGGUUCGGAAUAACUCCCGAAAGGGGUGCUAAUACCGGAUAAUGUCUUCGGACCAAAGAUUUAUCGCCUUUGGAUGGGCCCGCGUUGGAUUAGCUAGUUGGUAGGGUAAAAGCCUACCAAGGCGACGAUCUAUAGCUGGUCUGAGAGGAUGAUCAGCCACACUGGGACUGAGACACGGCCCAGACUCCUACGGGAGGCAGCAGUGGGGAAUAUUGGACAAUGGGCGAAAGCCUGAUCCAGCAAUGCCGCGUGAGUGAUGAAGGCCUUAGGGUUGUAAAGCUCUUUUACCCGGGAUGAUAAUGACAGUACCGGGAGAAUAAGCUCCGGCUAACUCCGUG